GGGCCUGUAGCUCAGGGGUAGAGCGCUCGCUUUGCAUUUCCUCUGAGAAAUAUGCGAGAGGCCUAGGGUUCAAAUCCCUACCGGUCCA